CUCAGGACGAACGCUGGCGGCGUGCUUAACACAUGCAAGUCGAGCGGUAAGGCCCCUUCGGGGGUACACGAGCGGCGAACGGGUGAGUAACACGUGAGCAACCUACCCUCAACUUCGGGAUAAGCCUCGGAAACGGGGUCUAAUACCGGAUAUCAUCAUGGACUUCAUGGUUUGUGGUUGAAAGUUCUGGCGGUUGGGGAUGGGCUCGCGGCCUAUCAGCUUGUUGGUGGGGUAAUGGCCUACCAAGGCGUCAACGGGUAGCCGGAAUGAGAGGGCGACCGGCCACACUGGGACUGAGACACGGCCCAGACUCCUACGGGAGGCAGCAGUGGGGAAUAUUGCGCAAUGGACGAAAGUCUGACGCAGCAACGCCGCGUGAGGGAUGACGGCCUUCGGGUUGUAAACCUCUUUCAGCAGGGACGAAGCGAGAGUGACGGUACCUGCAGAAGAAGGACCGGCCAACUACGUGCCAGCAGCCGCGGUAAUACGUAGGGUCCGAGCGUUGUCCGGAAUUAUUGGGCGUAAAGGGCUCGUAGGCGGUCCGUCACGUCGGGAGUGAAAACUCGGAGCUUAACUCCGAGCCUGCUUCCGAUACGGGCAGACUAGAGGUAGGCAGGGGAGAGCGGAACUCCUGGUGUAGCGGUGGAAUGCGCAGAUAUCAGGAAGAACACCGGUGGCGAAGGCGGCUCUCUGGGCCUUACCUGACGCUGAGGAGCGAAAGCGUGGGUAGCGAACAGGAUUAGAUACCCUGGUAGUCCACGCCGUAAACGUUGGGCGCUAGGUGUGGGGGACAUUCCACGUCCUCCGUGCCGCAGCUAACGCAUUAAGCGCCCCGCCUGGGGAGUACGGCCGCAAGGCUAAAACUCAAAGGAAUUGACGGGGGCCCGCACAAGCGGCGGAGCAUGCGGAUUAAUUCGAUGCAACGCGAAGAACCUUACCUGGGUUUGACAUAUAGGGAAAUCCUCCAGAGAUGGGGGGUCCGUAAGGGUCCUAUACAGGUGGUGCAUGGCUGUCGUCAGCUCGUGUCGUGAGAUGUUGGGUUAAGUCCCGCAACGAGCGCAACCCUCGUCCUAUGUUGCCAGCACGUUAUGGUGGGGACUCAUAGGAGACUGCCGGGGUCAACUCGGAGGAAGGUGGGGAUGACGUCAAGUCAUCAUGCCCCUUAUGUCCAGGGCUUCACGCAUGCU
rnacentral:rRNA from 1 species